CUCCUCUCUCUUUCUAACUUCUCAAAUGAGGAAGUUCACAGCUGUGUUUGUAGCAGCUUCCUUUUUACAGCUUUCGACUCACUAACAGGAAGAGAGAGAGAGAGAUAUAGAGAGUAAGAGAGAAACAGAGAGUAAGGGAGAGAGCAAGAGAGAAGACUGUGAGAAUCAUGUCUGUAGCUGAGUGUUUUCAGUAGAGAACUGAACUCUCUAGCUGAGUGUUUUCAGUAGAGAACUGAACUCUGUCUGUAGCUGAGUGUUUUCAGUAGAGAACUGAACUCUCUAGCUGAGUGUUUUCAGUAGAGAACUGAACUCUCAAGAACCAGGAUGUCUACGUCGUACCAGCCAUGGCACCAUGGUAAUAUCACCCGAUCUAAGGCUGAGGAUCUGCUCUCCAAAGCAGCUAAGGAUGGGAGCUUCCUCCUCCGGGACAGUGAGUCCAUACAGGGUGCCUAUGCCCUCUGUGUUCUGUUCCAGAACUGUGUGUAUACCUACAGGAUCCUACCCAAUGAGGAGAGGAAACUCUCUGUCCAGGCCUCUGAGGGUGUCCCUAUCCGGUUCUUCUCUGUGCUGGCUGACCUGGUGGAGACGUACUACAGUCCCAACAUGGGUCUGGCUACACACCUGCAGUUCCCUGUUCAGAAAGAGGAGGAGCCAGAGGAGGAGCCAGAUCCAGCUAAAUACCCACCUCAGCUACCACCCAGGAAAGGCCCAGGUGGGCUGUCAGCCAAUGGCAGUAAAGAGACCCAUGGGGGAGAGUCACAGACUUCAGAGCUCGCCUGUGCUUCCCUGAGAGACACAUACCUACAGAGGCUGCAACAGUUGGACAUGUCUAACCUGCCGGAAGAGCACCAACAAUCCAUCCAGGAAUACUUCCACACCUCACUCUGUCUCGAUGCUGAGCAAGCCCAGAAUGGGAAUCCCAACUUUCCCCGUCUGAAAAAGCUCACUAUGGGAAUUUGCAAACAUCUUAACAGUGAGAUCUCCCGUACCCUGCCCACUCUGGAGGCCUUCCAGAGGCUUCUAGACCAACAGCUGUCCCCAGGGGUCGGCCGAAUGAGAAGUCAGGUGUCAGCAGAUUCAGGUCAGGCUGUGUCAUUCAGGCUGGAACAAAUUACCAAACUGCUCUACUCCAUCGAGGAUAAAGCCAAAGCUGCUCUGUUUGAGUCGGUAGGAAAUGACGGAAGCCACAGGAAGUCUCUAAUACCACCUAUUACAUUUGAAGUCAAAUCAGAGUUGCUUGGUCUCACAAACAAGAUGUUCAUCAAGGUGGAUGUGGAAACUGGGAAGAUAUACUUCAAGAAGUAUAAAGACGGACCAGAAGAUAAAUACUUUGUACACAAUAAAAUUUUACAGCUGGUGAAAUCCCAGAAAGUUGCCAAACUGGUGAUCGUGGUGGAGACCGAGAAGGAGAAGACUCUGAGGAAAGAGUUUGUCUUCGACGAUACAAAGAAAAGAGAGGGGUUCUGUCAACUCCUUCAGCAGAUGAAGAACAAACACUCGGACAAGCCUGAGCCAGAUAUGAUCACGGUAUUCGUUGGUACCUGGAAUAUGGGUAACGCCAGUCCCCCCCACAGCAUAGCAUCCUGGUUCCAGUGUAAGGGUCAGGGCAAGACCAGGGACGACACGGCCGACCACAUUCCUCAUGACAUCUAUGUGAUCGGGACUCAGGAAGAUCCCCUGGGGGAGAAGGAGUGGAUAGACACACUGAAGAGUGCCUUGAGAGGAACCACCAACAUCAGCUUCAAACAAAUAGCCAUCCAAACGCUAUGGAACAUCCGCAUCGUUGUGCUAGCCAAGCCAGAGCACGAAAACAGAAUCUCACACAUCUUUUCAGACAGCGUUAAGACAGGGAUCGCCAACGCACUGGGAAAUAAGGGAGCAGUGGGCGUGUCCUUCAUGUUCAACGGUACUUCCUUUGGCUUCGUCAACAGUCACCUGACUUCGGGGAGCGAGAAGAAGCUCAGACGCAACCAGAAUUACGUCAGCAUCCUACGUUUCUUGAAUCUUGGAGAUAAGAAACUGAAUCCUUUUGACAUCACACAUCGAUUCACUCAUCUGUUCUGGCUUGGGGAUCUGAAUUAUCGAAUUGAAUUGCCAUCCACAGAAGCCGAGAGCAUCGUGACCAAGAUCAAACAGCAGCAGUACCAGGAACUGCUGUGUAGAGACCAGCUCACCAUUGAAAAAGGAGAGGGGAAGGUAUUCCUACACUAUGAUGAGGAGGAGAUCACGUUCGCGCCCACGUAUCGUUUCGAGAGAGACACACGCGAGAAAUAUGCCUACACCAAGGCCAAAGCCACUGGGACUAAAUACAAUCUACCAUCAUGGUGUGAUCGCGUUCUACGAAGGUCCUACCCCUUGGUGCAUGUGUUCUGUCAGUCAUACGGGUGCACCAAUGACAUUAUGACCAGUGACCACUCUCCAGUUUUCUCCACAUUUGAAGUCGGAGUGUCAUCGCAGUUUGUCUCCAAGCAUGAUCCCAACAGUGUGUCUCAGGGUGGGAUCAAGUUCAUGAACUGUGUUGCCACCCUCAUGACAAAGUCCAAGACCAAGUUCUUCCUCGAAUACCACUCCAGCUGCUUAGAGAAAUUUGUCAAGAGCUCGGAAGGAGAGAACCAAGAUCACUCUGAUGGGAACAUCAAGGUUCGGUUUGGAAAUCAAGUUGAGCUCGUCCCUAUCAUCUCAGACCCGGAGUACCUGUUGGAUCAGCACAUUCUCCUGUGUGUCAAGUCCACAGACUGUGAUGAAUCCUAUGGAGAGGGCUGUGUGGCUCUGCGAGCGGCAGAGUCCUCCUACACAGAGUUCCAGGUGACGCUGACGCACCACGGCGAGCGGACAGGCACCCUGACAGGGGGAGUACAACUGCGUACUUCUGGGGGCAAACAGACCGAGAAGUUAUACGAUUUCAUCCAAGUGGAAAGGGAUGAUUCUGGUGCCCCAAAAGGAAAAGGAGUGGAUUCCAACAACAAGACAUCUGGUUAUUUCUCCUGUUCAAUAGGUUCGCUUUUCCUCAUCCCACUGAUAUCACCAACCCCAGUUACAUGGGGGUGGGCUACAAGUCUGUAGGUGUGACAGACAGGGGCUGGAGCUACAGCAUGUCCCCCAGAUCAGGCUCCGGAGGUGGGGGUGUCGGUGGGCACGGGGGCAAGGACCAGACCCCCGUCUUUCCCAGAAAGACUGUCUACGACCACAGCGCUGUGCGAAGCCCCACAGGAAAAGCAGUGGACAACGUAGGUGAGGACGAGAAGCCAGCGGAGAUGUUUGACAACCCUCUGUACGGCUCCAUGGGAAAGUCUGGAGGAGGAGCUAAAGACUCACCAGACCCUCAGUCCUCCAAGGACCACCUGACCGCUCCAGACCCCUACUUCUCCUUCCCCAAACCCUCUGACCAGGACCCUGACCGCCCCCCGGUCCCCACCCCGCGUAACCGCUCUUACACCUGUUCUGAGACCAAGCCCCCGUCUUCCGUCCCUACCUCCUUCACCUCCCUCCAUCCCCUGCCCUACACCAAGAACCCUGUGAAACCGUCACGCUCCGAGGGGGGCAUGGUACUAACGGCCAAUAAGCCGCCUCUGCCCAUGAAGUCCCGCCCAGGCCAGGCGGAGGCCACGUCCACUAAGCCCAGAGACUACCGAGACAGCUCGGAGCUGCCCAGCAAACUCCGCCCAACUUCAAGGCCCAUCCAGCCCCUCCCCAAAGAAGCUCUUCAUGAGACAACUCAACCCUCGAAGAUGGGCCGUUCAGUGAAAUGACUGUCUGCUCCUGUCCCAGACGUUGGAAACUAGAUGUUAAAUGGGGGUGAUAACUCAAUACAACGUCUCACCCAGUCACUCCACGGCUCGUCUCACUCACUCUCCCAAAAACAUGUUUCUGUACAAACUCGUCGUUCCUUUUCCAUUUUUGUUAGACUAUAUUACUGGAAGUCCAUAAGACAUUUUAGGAAUUGUCUUCAUGUCUUUUGUCUCGUGGAUUUUUUGUUGUUGUAGAGUCCUCCUUAUACAAAGUAUCAUUGUUCUGUUUUUGCCGUUGACGUUGACCACCACAAGAACUCUUUAGAUUACAGGAAUCAUUUUGAAGACUUUUGAAAACAAUCUGAAUGUGUGUUCCUUGUAUCUGGUGUUUGGUCAAAUCAGUACUAUUAUUAAAACUAAAAGGAAUCAGACUCA